GCUAGAGAGACACUGGGGAGAGGACUGUACACACUACAGGACUUCUACAGCCACAGUAACUGGGUGGAUCUGGGAUACACCGAACCCUACGCCAACCUGAUCCGCCCCGAUCUCCCACUGGAAAACCUGGCAGAUGUUAAAACCCCGACCUGCAGUGACUGUGCCAAUGGGGGGUUCUGUUCCAACUCCAUCCUAACU